rnacentral:lncRNA from 10 species
AGAAUACAAAGCCACCGUUCCUUCAAAAGCAGUGGUGGGCAGGAGGCUCCGGACUGUGUGACAGGCAAGAGUUUGUGUUUGCUUAGUCCUGUAUUGACUGUAAGCCCAUCUUCCUCUCUCUGUCCUCCCUCCUGUUCCAGUUUACCUGGGGUGAGGAAGCAGUAGCUGCUGCCAAGCUUUCUGCAGAAGAGGUUACAGCAGGAGAAUGACACAGCACUUUAAGGACUCUAGAGAAACAAAGAAACCUCUGCUUCCUUUGUAGAGCACAGGCAGGUUUUCUUCCCUGAUUGAAUAAUGUGACUGCCACGUGUUUUCCUCCUGUGUCAAAAACUACUCCCAACUACUUUAGGAGAGGAAUGAAGGGAUGAAAAGAGUUGGCAUGCGAGACGGGUAAGAUGGAGCCCCCAAUCUCACAGGAGCUUUUGAUCUACACGGGGACAAGAGAGAUGUGAACAAACAUAACACAGACAGUGGAAGAAGUGGAGCUUUAAGGAAGCUGGAGCCAAGGUUGAAUGCAGGUGCUUUGAUCUGGACUGUUUUGCUGAAAGGUUUCCAGUUGCCUAUGGUGGUAGUAAGAAGAUGCUAAAAUAACUAACUAAAUAAAAGCCAUAGAUCAUUUAAGUCAUCAAAUCUCAACCAGGCCAAUCAAAACAACCAUAAAGACACAUCGAGAUGAAACUUCAAAUACUGUGGCACAGCUGUGGACUACGAAGAAACAAAGAACUAAACUCAGAUCAGAACAGUUGUUAAAAUAGAAUAAUAUGUCUGUGUCUCGGAGACUAAAAUACGCCUGGCACCAACAGAAGUACUGAGUAUUGAAAGUUGAGACAAGUCACUCAUGACUUUUAUGGACUGGUGGUGAAGACAGGCAGUGAUUGAUACAUUACGAAGUGGUCAGAUUCAGAACAGAAUUACUCACAGAAUUCUACGGAAAGACAGAAGAUAGAGCCCUAAAUCCAGCCUGAAAGAAUCAUGACAAACUUCCUAGAAGACACCUGGGCUGAAUCUUAAAGGAAUGACCUAAUUGUCAAGAGGGUAACAUGUUUUGAGAGUUGCCAUUGGAAUAGAAGUCCCUAAGCUUCCUUGGCUUGUCAGCCUCAUUCCCUUCUGUCCGGCUUUCUCCUCAGCCACAUAACAUCACUCUCCCACCCAAUUUUUAAGUUCAUAUUUUUUUAAAUAGGCAAAGAUUUCUCUCCUUUAGGCAACCACUUGAAAACACCUAGUAAAAAAUUCUGAUUUGCCUGGCUUGAAUUUCCUUGGAAAUACUUAGUCCAAUCAUUUUGGCUGAGGUAAUGGUGUUUUCUGAUUGGUCUAGUUUGACUCAUCCAAUCUGCCUGGAAUGCUGGUUAUCUAAGCAACUUCUAUUUAAAACCUACAGAAGGAGAAAAGCAUUUAACAGAUGAUGCAGAAAAGACUGUUGAUCAGAUUGAAUAGUUGACACUUCUAGGGACUAUCAUUCAACCUACCAGUAGCAAAAAGGAAUUACCACUCUGUGGAUACAUUUCAGGUCAUGCUUGCCUAAUGAAAGACUGUAAGUCAAAAAGAAAUAAACAUUUGCUGAGUUACAUUUUGGGCCAACCCUUUGGGAGGUGCUUUUCUUUCACUAUCUCAUAAAGCUUCUCACUACAACCUUUAGAGACAGGUACUAUUUUAAGUAUGAGGAACGUAGAGGUUAAGUAACUCUUAGAAGAUCAUAUGGAUUUGGAAAUCACAGAGAUUUAAUUCGUUUUUAAUUAGCAUUCCAUCUUCCUCCCACUGUACCAUGUGGGAUCUUUGGAAAACAAUAUUUGUAGCACAAUGCAUCAUCUUCCAAAUGAACAGAGGUGUGCAGAUAAAUAGGAGCUUCGUUUUGUUUUAUUUUUUUGCUGACUUUAUGAUAAGAUGGUUUUCUUUCUUCAAAUUUUAAUGUGCUGCGUCAGACGAAAAUAUAUAAUGAGUGCUUUGGAUUUUCUGUCUUUUGGGCUGAUUCUGUAAAAUGUGUCACAUCUCUCUUCCUUAGAGAGAGUAAUCAAUGGGGUGCAUUGUGAUUUCCACAUAAUAUCAUCCCCAGGACCAUUUCUCUUUAGGCACACAGUGUAGGGAUGGAAAGGGGAUAGAAGGGGUGCUUGUAAAUUUCUGCAUUCAUAUUGAACAUUUUCCCAAUAGGAUGGUACAGAAAAUGUCAAUAAUUAAUUGGGAAAUAUUUGUUUAUCUUUAUGGAGAGAUUUUGUUAUUAAGCUUAGAUAAAACAUUUUUUGGAAGGGUCAUUGUCCCUGGCUCUCUAACUGUGGACUGGCAGAAUACGGGGUGUGUUGGGUGUGGUGCUGCAAAGACAACGUUUAGAUCAUUUCGUGGGAGGCCAAUCACUACUCCUUAGGGUGCCCUAUUGCUCAUUUCAUUAGCACAGCACAGGGUUCCCUAGGAAUUAUAUUUUUCCCUCUCUCCGGUAAACAUUAAACUUAGUUACAGAGAUGAGCGAGAUGUAUAAAUAGAGGGGAAAAGGUGUUUCUCAUUUUAUUACUCUUUUGUGUAAUAGUAGUAAAAGUUUUGUAGGGAGUAUUGUAUACAGUAAAACAAUCAUUUGUCAAUGGGUAAACUUACUGAACACCAACGUCUGCUUUUAAAAGAUCCCUUGUGUGUCAUGAACUACACAGUGUUCAUAAAAAGUUGUACUCCAGGGUUACAUAUUCUUGUUUCCUCAAUUACUGGAGUUUCCUGAAAUCUCCAAGGAAAGAGGAUUAAACAUUUAUUGUCAGGAAGCACCAGGUUUCACUUCGUCCUGUGCUUUGACACAUUCAUUAUCCCAGACUUUAAAUUUUCGAUUACAGAAUCCAUAAAGUACCACCAACACACACAUACACACACAAAUAAACACAUAAACACACAAACAAUCACAAAAUAGUUAAAAGUGGUGAAUUUUAAAAAGGCAAAAAAAGGGCAAGGACCAGUUUUGAUGACUCUAUUCUUAGUCUCUCAUGUUAGUUUUACCAUUACAGACAGUAUGUCUCCUUGAGGAAUACCUGGGGUUAUAUUUG